rnacentral:rRNA from 1 species
GUGGGGAAUAUUGGACAAUGGGCGAAAGCCUGAUCCAGCCAUGCCGCGUGAGUGAUGAAGGCCUUAGGGUUGUAAAGCUCUUUCAGUAGGGAAGAUAAUGACGGUACCUACAGAAGAAGCCCCGGCUAACUUCGUGCCAGCAGCCGCGGUAAUACGAAGGGGGCUAGCGUUGUUCGGAUUUACUGGGCGUAAAGCGCACGUAGGCGGAUUGGUCAGUUAGAGGUGAAAUCCUGGAGCUCAACUCCAGAACUGCCUUUAAUACUGCCAGUCUAGAGUCCAGAAGAGGUGAGUGUAACUCCUAGUGUAGAGGUGGAAUUCGUAGAUAUUAGGAAGAACACCAGUGGCGAAGGCGGCUCACUGGUCUGGUACUGACGCUGAGGUGCGAAAGCGUGGGGAGCAAACAGGAUUAGAUACCCCAGUAGUCC